GCGGGCGUGGCGAAACCGGUAGACGCAAGGGACUUAAAAUCCCUCACCCUUAGGUAUGCGGGUUCGAGUCCCGCCGCCCGCACCA
rnacentral:tRNA from 4 species